rnacentral:sRNA from 1 species
AGAGGUAAAUUGAUUUAGACUUUGACUCGGCUAGAAAGAAAGUUUUUUGUUUAUAUACAUUUCGUUGGAUUACUUGUAACUCAACCUCCGUGUUAUACGCAAUAGCAGCUACUUUUCCACGCUAUCGGCGCCAUAAUCGGCCAAACACAUAAAUAUAUUUAGGAUUUAACUAUGUCUAACACAGUUACUGGUACAGUAAAAUGGUUCAACGAAACUAAAGGCUUCGGCUUCAUUCAACAAGAAAACGGCCCAGACGUUUUCGCUCACUUCUCUGCAAUCACUGGCGACGGUUUCAAAACGCUAAUCGAAGGUCAGAAAGUUGAGUUCACUGUAUCUCAAGGUCAAAAAGGCCCUCAAGCUGACAGCAUUAAAGUACUUUAAUUCGUACUCUAAUUAUUCUAAAUAGCUGGCUAUAUGCUGGCUAUUUUUU